UUGGUUUGGGUUGUGUUUAGUUUUGUUCAAUGUUUUCCUGUGUUCCAUGUUUGUCGUGUGCUCAUUAGGUUGUUGUGUCCACCUGUUCUCGUCUACUUUGUGUCGACCAAUCAGCUCUCUCUAGCCACUCGUCUUGUCCAGGUGUUCCUCGUUGUCUCGUCAAUUUGUUUGUAUUUAGUUCCCUGGUUUCUUUCACUUCUCGUCGGUUCAUUGUCGUCACAUGUCUUGCCAUGUCAUUGUCGCUCAGGCCCGUAAAGUCUACCUUUACUGUAAACAAGUCAGUCAGCAGGAGGCUUCUCUUCUCUCAAGAGAUGUGGUUUCCUUGAUGAUGCCCCUGCCGGGAGCUCUGAAUAAAUGUUUCAAACAACCCCUAAACGGUGGCGGCAGGAGGUUUGCAGCUCAGGAGGCAAAGUCAUGAUUCAAAGCACCUGUCUCCAAUCAGCCUCAUCAUCACCGGUAUAUAAGCCUGCCUGUUCCAGGAAAUCCUUGCCAAAGUAUUGCAGUUACUUCCAGCGGUACCACGGCCCAUUUACCUCACAUAAGUCACUCUAUUCGUAGGUCCCUUUUUUGACUCCUGUGUCUCCUUGUUCUCAGUGUUUUCUCCCGUGUUCCUGAUCCACGUCAUUUCUGCCACCAAGCGAGCCGCUUGUCCUCACCACUGCCUGUCACCUGUCCACGCCACCGCCUGCCAACCCACCUAGGACCACCGCCAUUUCCUUUCUUCAAUAAACUGUUCAUCAUUUUACAUCUGCCUCCGCCUGCUCUCGGAUCCAGCUGCUCCCCAUACAUGACAGAAUUCUUCUUCCCUCCAGUUCGUGGUCGAGGUUGACGCCUCGGACACGGGGGCAGGGGUUGUCCUCUCGCACCCCACGAGACAGAAACUUCACCCCUGUGCCUUCUUUCUCUGUCGUCUGUCCCCUGCCGAGAGGAACUACGAUGUCUGCUACCGAGAGCUCCUGGCCAUUGUAUGGGCCUUGGAAGAGUGGAGGCACUGGCUGGAAGGGACUGAACGACCAUUCAUCAUUUGGACAGAUCACAAGAAUCUCUCUUACCUCGCUUCCACCAAACGCCUUAAACCUCAACAAGGUCGCUGGGCUUUUCCGGAAGCUUAUACACGAACAUAAUCUUUUGGAUGACUUCUACGUGGCUCAACCGGGGAAGUCUGGCAGGACGCCGGGAGGCGAUGAGAGGGGGGUACUGUCAUAUACUGGCCUGCAGUUCCAUUAUUGGAGCCGGGAGGGCGCUUUGCGUCCUCUCUCUCUUCCCCCUCCCCUCUCUGUUUUCAGCACCUGUCUCCAAUCAGCCUCACCACCACCGCUAUAUAAACCUGCUUGUUUCAGGAAAUCCUCGCCAAAGUAUUGCAGUUACUUCCAGCGUGUUUUCUCCCGUGUUCCUGAUCCACGUCAUUUCUGCCACCAAGCGAGCCGCUUGUCCUCACCACUGCCUGUCACCUGUCCACGCCACCGCCUGCCAACCCACCUAGGACCACCGCCAUUUCCUUUCUUCAAUAAACUGUUCAUCAUUUUACAUCUGCCUCCGCCUGCUCUCGGAUCCAACUACUCCCCAUACGUGACAAGCUGCCUUUGAUUAGUACACUGAAAUCUUUAAGAGCUGCGUACGAGUUGCAUAUGAUUGUGGGUUGGCAAAUAUUCUCUUGCAAAGACAGCUGGCUGACAGUUCCUUACAUGAAAGUGGGCCCAAAUGUAGUGUCAGUGUUGGAUAGCCUCGCUGUAGUAUUGUCAACUUGGAAGGGUAGACGGAUUUGAUUUGAGGGGGCACAGCGUUGUUUGAGGGAGCCAUUCAUCCAUCCAUUUUCUUUACCGCUUAUCAUCACACGGGUCGCGGGCUGGGCUG